UCGCCCCUUCCACAGAAAAGAGCAGAUGAGCUCACGGACAAGAAGGUAUUAGGGCUUCUGCUCCCUCUGUGUGCCUCUAUUUCCCGUUUGCACAAUGAGCCCAAGAGUUGUCGUGUUCCAGGGUUCACUGGUAAGCCCUGGCGACCUGGAGGCUGAGCCCUGGGCAGACCGAGGCCAGUCCAUGCUCUGCACGCCCCCCCCCCCCCCAACACACUCCCAUCUCAGGAGCCCAGGAAGCAGCUUCUGGGACCUGCCAAGGGCUCGGAGGUCCACACCCUCCCGGCCGGGAGAGCUGCUGACCCUCUGGGAGGCCGUCAACAGAGCAAAGAGGAAGCCAGGCUGGGAACCUAGUGGUGCAACCCGGUCCGUGGUGCCGACGACCUCGUGAGCUUGUGCAAUGAACCUGGAGUCCGGAAAGCGGCUGCCUGCGGCCGCACGCAACGGGCAGGCCGACGGGUCACCCAGGAGGCCGCCCUCUAGCCCAGGUGGCCUGGGCGAGCCACGGCCACACGUCACCCCCACCUGAGCUGGCCAAUGGGACCCCAGCCGCCACUACCCUUCCGAACACUGAGGCCCACGCUCACCAUCCCCCACCCAGCUCCAGUGCCUCCUCCCUGGGGUCUCCCAGGGGCUAGGCCACCCUCCCCACCCACGCACAAGUGGCCACUGUCCUCCCUCCAAGGGUGCCUGUCCAAGCCCAGCCCCUAUCAUGUUGCCCUUUGGGCCCUCGAUCCCCCAGGAUAGAGCAGGAAGCCUGGCCCUCAGUCGGAGCCUGGCUCUGGUCUCUGAGCGCCCUGGGCUGGAGUCCUGGUCAGCACCUCUUCCAAGUGCACCCUGCAGCAAAACCCUUCCCCCCUCUGUACACGGGGGUCACAAAGGGCUCCGCUCACCGGCCCGGGACUGCCCUAGGGGCUGCGUUGGGAGAGGAGGGCUGGGAGGGCGUCAGGCGUGUCUCUGGGUGGACCGUGCAUGGGAGGAGCCGCAGAGACCACUGCAGGCCAAGGGGGCCGUGGGCAAAGGCCAGGGCAACAGGAGUUGGGCCCAGGUGAGGAAUCGGCCUGCCUCGGCACAGGUCUGCCAGGGAAGGCCGGGCUGCGAGAGGCACAGGGGUGGCGAUGUGGGGAUAACAGGACGGCUCUUCCCACAGCUCCUGGCGGCAGCCCACCCCCCAGGACACCCAGGCCCAGGCCAGCUCGGAUCUGGGGUUGGGAGGGGCUGGUCGGACCCUGGUUAUCUCGGCUCCCCUGGCGGGGCACUGGAUACAGAGCCCAGAGCCCCCAGCCAGGCUGGUUAUCAGGGGCCACUGAGCCCUGACCUCAGCAGGCCCAGGCUGGGCACGGGGCGGGGGUGCCUGAGGCGUUCCCAGCCCGCCCCCGCACCCAGUAUCUGGAGCUGCCCCGCCCGGCCUGAGAUAGUUGCCCAGAGAGGAGAUAGAUGCUGGGAACACACCGCAGGGCCGGCUCCCAGUGGCCACGGAGAAGGGAGCGGGGAGGUGGCCCUGGACUUGGUGGACAGGCUCAGCCCAGCGAGCGCUGUCGGGGUGAGUCUGGGGGUCCCGCUGGAGAGGAAACUUAGAGAGUGGACUGCCUGACACCCACGUGUGUCUGAGCAGAGCCUAGACUGGGGCUUGGGCUCCGGCCUCCUGCCCACAGAUGGCCUCUGCCAUGCAGGCCGCACGGUCUGCAGGCCUGGCUGCCUGCUCUCCACUCCGGAGGGAGCUGAAGGACGGCGGGGAUGUGCUUGCCGCCACGGGCGCGCCCCUGCACAGGGCUCCCAGGGCUGCACGGCCCUGCCAGGGACCUGCCGGCCCGAGCCCGUGCCCCAGGCAGGGGCUCCCCUGUGCCAGGCCCAGCGCAUGACUUGUGGCCUGGGGCGGGGGGCGGAAGGAGACACCUGUUCACGCCCACCUGGGGCCCCGUGAGGGCAGAGGGGUUCCUGGGAGAAUGGGAUCCCAGAAAGCCCCUCUUCCCACGUGAAGGGCCUUCCAGGGCCCCCACCCCAGGCCCACCCAGCGCCCGCGGCCAGCCUUCCUGCCAGCUCUUGCAACACUGCGUGAGGGCUGCGCAGAAACCCGAUCUCGGGCUCAGGCCCUGACGUGCCCCUGCCGCCCGUCCCACUAAGCUCUUCUCCGUGGUGGGGCCGCUGGUCCCAGACCCCGUGGAGACCCAUGGCUCGUGCCUGCAGGUUCUCAGGAGGGCAGCCAUGGGCACUGCCCUGGCCCUGCCUCCCACGUAAGGGGGCUCCGAGACGGGACCCUCUGCACGGAGCCGUCCAGCAAAAGCCUCUGUCCCACCAGCCGGCCAGGGCUGUGGAAGAAACCAGCCCCUGACCCUCUGGCAGCUGGGCAAGUCCACCCAGUCCCUGCACCUCAGUUUCCCCAUCCAGGAAUGGGACGCCUGCCCAAGACCCUCGUCAGAUGCCUGGGGCGCCUCCUGCAGGAGAAUGGGUGCCACGCUGCUCCCCAGCACAGGCCACCGCAGGUGGGGCCUUCCUUCCUCUGCAGCAGAUGGUGAAGGAGCAGUGGUGACGGGGAAUAAACAAGCCACGGGCCUCGUCCCUGUCAGAGCAGGGUCCUCACAGGUGGGUUCAGCGGAGGAGGGGGCUGGCCCUGCGGCCAGAAGCCUCCUGAAGGCAGGCAAUCUCCUCUCUGCACCAGGCCCAGGCCCCUCUGGCUGCUCUCUGCUCUGAAGCGGGCAGGGCCGCCCUGCACGUGUGUGCAGGUUGGGCACUGCUCAAGGGACAGUGAGCCGUCAGGGCAGUGGUCCUGCUACACGAGGCAUCUUCCCAAAGCUCGAAGUGGAGCCCCUCCUCAAGUGCUGGCUUAAACCUGGAGCAACGCACCCUCUCAUGCCCCCCCACCCCAAGGGAUGAAGCUUGACUCCUCUGCCCCCCGCCCCCGCCAUGGCUCUCAGCUUGGGUCUCACUUUCCCUGUGAGCUCUGUGUUCCUGCUGCCUCUGCCCUCCCCAUCGGCACCCUGGUCACACGAUGCUGCCACUUCCUGGUCCCUGGGACACCUUUCUCUCCACCAUCCCGGCCCGUUGGUCUGUGGGCUCUGCCAGGGCCGGAAUCAAACCACUUUGGAAUCCCACCGAGGUCUGUAGAAGGCAGGGGGGCGGGAGGGGCCUGGGGCUGUGGGAGAUAGGCUUUGCUGGUAAGGCACCCAGGACUGGGGCAGAGAAUAAGCUGGCGGUGGAGGGAGCAGGUGGGCGCAGGGGAGCCUCUGGUCAGGGGCUCAGGGCCAGGGCCAGCAAACUGACGGCACCGUGUCCCUCUGCCAGCCCCCAGGACCCUUGCAGCCCCCAGUUGCCCCACAGCCCUGAACCCCCACCUCCCUGCCUCACACAAAGCCCAGGUUUUCCGGGCCUUACCUCUCCCUCUGUACAGGAGCCCAAGCCCCUCCACGUGCCCCCACCCGGGUAGCACCCCCAGCCGCUGGUGCAGCCGUGCCCCAUCCCUCAGGUGCGUCUCUGCUCCCGCGGCAACUCAGCCCCCUUUGAAAGUCGUGCUGACGUUCAAGGGCCACCCCCCAGAGGUCCUGGGAAGAUGGGAAGAGCCCGCAUCUCCCUACUGCCUUGAGGGAGCCCUGAGGGGCCUUUGUGGGGCCCGGCUGGACCCUCGGGACAUUGGAAACCCGGGACACUCAGGAGGCCUGUUAGGGGGUCCCAUGCUCGCCGACCCUGCUGGGCAUCUGGGUCUCUCCCCCAUCCCGUUCCCACCAGGCAGCUCAAGGUGCUGAGAGGCGGCACAUGCCCGGGCAGGGCCCACUGCAGCUGGCGGCUCAGAGGAUGGCACUCCUGCUCCGCCGCUGGCUCAUGCCCCCUUGGGAGUCAGGGUCAGGGAGGUGCCCACCCACAGGUCACACCCUCCUGGCUCUGGGCCCCCGCUUCCUUCCUCCCUCCUCUCCGGCAAACUAGAGACCCAGAAACCAGACCUCCAUGAGCCGGGGCCCCAAGGGACUGCUGGGAGCCUGGUGACUCUCUGUCCUCCCCUGUGCCGGGGAUCAGUAGUCUCUCAAAGGGCCUCUGGGCAUCUCUCAGGCCUGUCCCCAAGGGCCGGCGCGGCUCAGGCUUCAGUGAGCCUGAGGCAAGUGUCCCAGCAGCUCUCCUCUCCGCAGACCCCCACUGGCCACAUGGCCAAGCUGCCCAGCUGAGGCUCCCGCUAGAGACAACCGAUGGGGUAGGAGGGAGCGGCUGCCAGGGGUCAGCCCUGGAGGGGCCAGCGGUGGGCGUGGUCUCCAGGCCAGUCCCGGGAAGUGCCAGGGAAGGGGCCGGAGGUGGCCUGGCCUCCUCUCGGGCAGCAGAAGGGUGGACACCAGCUGACACCCACACCCCGCUGCCUGCCACACCUUCCUCCUCGGCCCAGCGUUUUCUCACGCUCGGAGCUGGCAUGGCGAACCCUGCGUGCUGGGACUUGUCACCCCAUCCCGGGAAGGUGGGCGAGGCUUUUCCUCUGGGCCUGGGGGCAGGGGCCACCGCAAGUCAAGACACGGCCUGGAGUGGUGGAGCCGGGUUGCGACACCGGCUGAGCAGCUGCAGGGGGCCCGGCCCACAUCUGGCCCGUGUCCCAGUCCGUCCGCCUACCUUGGCACCUACCCCCCGCUGGGGAGGACAGAGAGCAUGGGUGGGCUUGGGGAGGCGGGUUCCCAUCCUUCCUAGAGGUGGACCCAGGGGCUUGGGCCAAGGCCCUGCCCCCCUCUGGUCCUCAGUUGGAAACUGAGGAAAUUGAGGAUCGUAAAGUUUCGUCGGGACACCCAUGUGCACCCACACGCCCCGCACCCUGUCGGAGUCUGCGGUGUGGUCAGCAGUGCUGACCUCAGUUUUCCCCUCUGGAGAGUGGGAUGACAGCAUAGCUACCUCAGGGCUGCUGGGAGACUCCAACAAGAAAUCCACACUUUGGGAGCCCUGGGCCCUGCAGCAUCACGGCUGUGACUUUGGGACAGAGGGCCAGGAAUUCCUAAGGGCCCCCGAGGCUGACGUGCUGCGGGGACAGAGGCCUGAUGGCCCCCAAGCCUCACUCAGUCCCGGGACAAGAUCUUGGAUCUCUCUGGCCAGAACUGGUGAGGUUCACUGUCCAGGUGAGAGCUGGGUGGAGGCCCCCCUCCAGCAGGGCCCCCGCCUCCGGCCAGUCCCCCCGGUGACAGACUGGCCCCUGAGCAAAUCCAUUUCAUUUGAGGUCAGGCCGGCCUGUGGUUCCCCUCAACCCACCAGGUCCUGGUGUGGGCGUCUGGUUGUAAAGACAAAACCGGAUCCUCUCUGGGCACCACCCCUGUAGGGCCAGUGGGGACCCAGGCCGAGGGUGGUCCCCAGGAGGGUGGCAUGAGUACCUGGCCUGUCCCAUUUGCCUCAGCGAAAUGGGGGGCGGGGGUAGAGUGGGACAUGGGACAGGCCGGAGUGGCGCCCUGGACAGACCCUCCUCAGUUCUGUUGUCACGUGGAGAAACUGAGGCCCAGGGAUGUGCAAGCCCACGGCUGGGCUCGUGGGCCAAGCUGGGCCCCCGGAGGCCCCGGGCCUUCCUGGCCGUGAUGUGCAGGCUGUUCUCUGGGCAGGAAGGAGGGCCUGGGGCGCAGGGCUCUGGGGAAAGGGCCCCAUAGCUUAAGAGCGCCUUCCGCAGGAGUCACCAGCUGCCGUCGGAGGCUGGGGAGACGGAGAGGCAGGCCCCCUGGGAGGCAGCCCCUCGACACCCUGGCAACCCCCCAGGCAGGCGUGGGAAUGUGACUGGAGGGAACAGGGCCUCUCCCCCAGGAAUCAGCGGCUGGGCGCCAGCCAAGGCGGGUCUGAUCCAAAGAGGAAGCAAAGUUCAGCUGCUGCGGAGCAGAUGAGCUGCUGGGGGCGGACGCAGGCCGUGAAGAUGGGGCUCCAGCCCCAGCCCUGGCUGAGCCCUGAUCCCAGGUGCAGACGCCCCUGACUGUAGCCACGGGCUGCCUUCCGAUCCCAGUUACAGGCUGACGUCUCACCCCAGCCCCAGACUGAGCCCUGACACAGGCGUGAACUGAGCACACACCCCAGCCUUGGACCAGCCCCUGACCCCAACCAGACCGGCCCCGAUCCAGGCACAGACCAGCCUCAUCUCUGCUGACGUCCAACUCCGGCUUUGUCCACCUCUGGCUCUUUGCUUCUUCAGCCCCCAGGCCGAGACCAUCCUGGGUUGCAUCAGCAGGGGCCAGCCACCGGGAUCAGGAAGGUGACGGUCCACGCUGUUGGAUGCUGUGUCCCUUCCUGGCCCUGCACUUUCAAAGGUCCGCAGACCAGCUGGAGUGGGUGCAGGAGGGAGACCAGGGUGCAGGCCUGGGGGCGCCGAGGGGGCCAAGGCUGGCUGUUGUGGAGGCAGGAGGCCUGCUCAGCCUGGUGGGACCCAUGCCACCUCCAGCGUGUGAGCCAGCGUGCCACCUCCACCACCUUGUCUUCCAGCCAGCCCUGAAAGGCGGAGCGCACCCGCCCUGCUUCGUGGACGAGGAACCGGGCCGGACAGGCUCAGUGAUACCCAAACGUACAGAGCACGACCCGAGGCAGUCUGACCCGAAGCCCAGUCAGCCGUGCUGGAGGCAGACCUCAGCCUGAUGCCAACACCACCAGCCUAUGGGGCGGGGGCUGCCUUGAGUGGAUGGGGCAGCUUCACGGGGGCGGGGGGGAGACGUCGGGGGAGAUGCAGGGGACCACCGAGCUGGGGUGUCGGAGCCGGAUCUGGGCCCCCAGGUGGGAGGGGGGCCAGUCUGGGUUGUUGGGCCCCUGCAGCCACCAACUCGGGCUCCCUGAGCCUCCCAGGAGCUGAGGCUGGGCACUCCGAGCUUGGGGGGAAGAAGCUGUGUUUAUUCGGAGCUCUAAUCUCUGGGCCUUAUCACCGCCUGUUUGCCCAUCGAGAGCUCACACAUGGCUGGAGGUCACAGCGGGGUGGGAGGGGCUGACAAUAUUUGCCCACUUCUCCGAGCCUCUCAGCUCGGAGGGGUCUCCCGCGGGCACCAGAUGCCAGGUGGGGUGCCUGCCGUGUUGACAUUCCCCAGCUCUGAGUUUGGCUUCCGAUAGCGGUGCACGAGGGCGUGGCCGGAGCAGCCCUUUCUCAUAGGAAACCUCGAGAAACAGCUGCGCACCCCCCCGCGGGGCUUGGUUGCCCCCAUGCUGUCCCAGCCCACACCUGGGACGUGGGAAAGUCCACUUGGAGUGUCCAGGGGCUGUGCUGGGGCUGGGGACAGCAAAGCCCCGCAGGAGGCCGGGCCCAGCCCCAAGUCAGGGCCCACGGCAGGGUGCCCAGACCCUGCCCGAAGGAGGCAGUGUGGCUUGGUGGUUAGGGCACACGAAGGCUCCGCGCGCUUGGCACUGUGUGACUUGGGGAGCCCCAGUUUCCAGCUAUUAAACGGGGCGCUCGUGAGUCCCACACCAUAGAGUUGCAGGGAGACGGAUGAGAUGCUGAGCCCCACACACACACCACCGCCCGCCUCCCACUGGGCGCAGUAGGGCCAUCGCCCCCCUCGCCCCAGAGGCUGACCAGGCCCCAGGGGAGGCGGGCUUGGGCAUGCCCUCCCACCCAGGUUCCAGGCCAGCAGGAGCCUCUCCAACACCCUCAGCCACUCCCCGGCUGCUUCCAGUGAGGGCCCUUUUCCUUUCUGGGUCUAUUGGGGGUUAACCGUCCCCAUCACCCAGUUUACGGGACCUCUGGUUGCUUCAGAGCCCGCCUGGUACCAGCAGGCCCGCCCCCUGAGGAUGGGAACCCACCUGCUGCGCUUGGGGGCCCCCACGGGCUUUAGGGGGACGGGCCAGGAGGAAGAGGCAAGGAGGUAGCUGGUAGCCGUGGCCUCCUCGAGGGCCUCGGUGGGACAGCGGCACCCGGACGGUGCUGUCACCGCGUCCAGCCCAGGGGAGCCCGGGUCUAGGCAGGCAGGCUGGUCCCAGGCUAGGGUGCCAGCAUGGCCGGCCCAGGGUCAGGCGGCUCCGGGACCAGGUUGCCGUGUGACCUGGGUGAGCCCAGGCCCUUUGCCUUCCCAAGUCCUUUCCUCCGUAAAAAACAAAAAGAGUGAAAAUUAGAUCUUAUGGUUGUGUUGGUCUAAAGAUAAAUACACUAAUAUUAUAUAUGAAAGCAUUUUCUUGUUCUUAAAAAUUCAGUUUUUUCUCCUGAUUUUAAAAGACAUUAAAAUACUUCCCUGAGCCUCUGGAAGUCUCCUGGUUCCUGGUCUCUGGGCCUGAAAGGGGAGUCGGUCUCUGGGGAUUCAGGAGCCCAGAGGAGGGGCCUAACCUGGGCUUGGGGUCCGGGAUGCGACUCAGAAAAUGUGACACCAGAGCCCGGAACAGGACACAGGAGGAGCCAGACAGAGAGGAGGGGCGGGGGAAGAGGCAGGAAGAGCCUGGGGCUCCUGGAGGUUGAUGGAGCCCGGGUUCCAGCAGCCUCCAAGCGUGGAGGCGGGGCCUCGUGGAGGCGGGUGGGCGGGGCCUCUGGUGGGCACCCGGCUCGUUGGGGCUGGGGCUUGUCCCGAGCACCUAGAGGAACCACAGGAGGUUUACGCAGGAGUGGGGGUGGGGGGGUAAGGUGCGGGGGGAGGGGCUGGAGCUGCAGCCCGGAAUGUGGGGGAGACGCUGCUGCAGGUGUCGGGGGGAGUCCCAGCAGGGAGCGAUCCCAGCCUGAAGAGGUCCCAGCAGGGAGCGAUCAGGAGGCUGGUUGGCCCUGGGCCUCGUUUCCCCACGUGCACAAUGAAGGGUUGGGCUAAAUGGUCUCCAGGGAGGUUCCUGAAGGCCAACGGAAGGCCUGGGGGAAAGGGGGCAUUCUACAGGUUGGGGGGUCUUCACCCAGCGCUCCAGGAGGGAAAUAGGGUGGGGUGGGGCUGGGGCAGCUCCCUCUGACCCCCUGCACUGCGGCCUCCCAGCUACAGAGCUCUGCCCACUGUCUACCCCACUUCCCUCCUGGGACCACCUGCCUGGGGACCAGCAGCCCUUGUGGUCCCCACGUGCCCUCCCUCCGUCCCUCCACUGGUAGCUAAACUACCAUCGAUCAGGGCAGCCACACCUGCUGCUCUCCAGUCCCCUCCUCCCUCCGCUGGGCUCAGGGGGGCCCAGGCACCCAGCAGCCCCUCAAGGACCCCGAGGCAGGACUGCUCAGACCUGAAGGCUGCAGCCCUCUGUCCUGUGAACCCCAAGAGAGCCCCCGACCAGAAUACCUGCCAGGAGGAGCAAGGCCCUGCACAGCCUUCUCACCAUCCCACAGGUGAGAAAACUGGGGCCCCCUCCCCUUAGCUUUGCACUGGAGAGGGGAGAGGGGCACAGGCGGGGACGGGGAGGGGGAACCAGGAACGGAGCCCCUCAGCUGCCUCCCCCAUCACUCAGAAGAGCCACCCCCGCCGUCAUCUGUGUCAGGGAUAGAGACCAGGGUCCUCCCCUGGCACUGUCCUGACCAGCGUCCUGCCCUGCAGCUCAGGCUCCCCAGGAGCACCUGGACCUGUGGCUCUGCACCAGGGAUGGGACGGGCGCUGGGAUGGGACAGACGCUGGGAUGGGACAGGCGCUGGGAUGGGACAGGCCCUGGGAUGGGACAGGCACUGGGAUGGGACAGGCCCUGGGAUGGGACAGGCGCUGGGAUGGGACAGGCCCUGGGAUGGGACAGGCGCUGGGAUGGGACGGGCCCUGGGAUGGGCCAGGCGCUGGGAUGGGCCAGGCGCUGGGAUGGGCCGGGCCCUGGGAUGGGACAGGCCCCGGGAUGGGACAGGCGCUGGGAUGGGACAGGCCCUGGGAUGGGCCAGGCGCUGGGAUGGGCCAGGCGCUGGGAUGGGACGGGCCCUGGGAUGGGACAGGCCCUGGGAUGGGCCAGGCGCUGGGACGGGGCCUCCACAGCGCCCCAGCCCUCUCUCGGCAAACAAAGGCCCUGCUAACCAUAUGCUGCUGCUCUGAUUUGUUUGGGCUAGGGGGGGGCCUGGGGGGAACGGGGGGCCUGGCACACCCCACCCAGCCACCUUGGCACCACAGAAAUGCCUCUUAGCCUGCCGGGCCCCUCCCUAAUCAGGGGUCCCCCCAGCCCCCCACCCCCCCUCCCCCAACUCCGUCCCCACAGCCCUGGGACCGAUGCCUCCGCUGCCCCAGCUGGGCAGGCUGCCCACGUGUGGCGGUACGCACGGGCGUCACAGCUCAGUCCCCAGAGGGCGGGAGAGGACUGGGGGUUUGCUGGGAGAGACCAGAGGCCUGAGAGGAUCCUACCCAGCUCCAUACCAGGAGGUAGUGGGGGAAUGGUCACCUCCCCAGUGCCGAAGCCCCAGGCCCGUCCUGCUCCCCAACAGGGGCCGGCAGAGUGGGGCCCCGCCUGCUGUGCGCUGCCUCUCCUGAGCCCGAGGCCCCACACUCCUCCCAGUUCCCUCCCCCACGCCUCCUGCCACCCCCCACCCCAUCCCCCGUUGGGCGGGAUUCCACCGCUUCCCUCUGCGAGACCUCGGGGAAGGCCUGGUGCUCUGCCCCCACCUGCGGGACCACCGCAGCUCACCGCCCAGCAUCCCCACCCCCAGGCCCCGCCCCUCCCAGCCUCCCCCAGCCCCAGCGGUGAUUAAUAAAUGAGGUGAAAACUGAGCUCGGGGAGGCCUGGCGGUGCCCCCGCACUCCAGUCCAGCGCUUGGGGCUCAGCCGCAGCCCCGCGAGCCCCCGCCCGCACCACCCCCCCCACCACCCCCCACCACCCGCCACCUGCCCGCCCGGGUCAGUUCCCCAAGCUCCUGGCGCCACCUGCUGGGCCAAGUGGACGCUUGCGGUGUUCCACCGGCUCGACCACAGAGGCCCAGGUGGGAACUCAGAUGGGGAGUGGCUCAGGUGCGGAGGGGGCUCAGAUGGGGAGAGUCAGAGAAGUCCUGUGAGACCUUGGGUGGCUUGAGGAGGGUUGCGCGGGCACACACACACAUUCUCAUUCUCUCUCUCUCACAGUGGGCGUUCCUGGGGCCGCACUGCCCCCCUGUGGCAGCAGGAUGCCCUGCAUGAAGCCCAUUCAACCACCCCGUCUCUGAGGCCCUGGCAGGAAUGCUGGUCCCUCAGCCCGUGUUGUAGGGGGACCCUGAGGCCUGGGUGAGGGCAGAACCUGGUAAGCCACGGACCCCUUGCUCUGCCCCGCAAGUCUCCAGGGACAGUCUGAGUCUGGUACUUGGAGGCCUGGGUUCCAGACCUAACAGUCACCCACCCCGUCCCUAGUGCAGGAGGAAGGGGCUCCAGGACCGUUCUCCCUAGAGAGCCGGGUCCAAAGUUAGGACACAUGUCCCAGCACAGCCCUGCCCUUCCCGGGGACCCAGACUGCCCGGGCAGCCAAGCAGAGCUGCCAGACCCUGCCAAGGACUGCGGAAGAGGAAAUUAAACCCCAAAGAAGUAGAAGAAAUAAUAAAGAUAAGAGUAGAUAUAGAUGAAAUAGAAAAUGUACAAACAAUGGAGAAAAUCAGUGAAGCCCAAAGCUGGCUAUUUGAAAAGAUCAAUAAAAUGGAUAAAUUUCCAGUUAGUCUGAUCAAGAAAAAUAAAAGGAAGAGACAAACGGCCAAUAUGAGGAGUGAAAGAGAAGGUAUCACUUCACACCCUAAAGACAUUACAAGAAUAAUAUUUCAGUAUUAUCAAUUGAUGACCAAAAAUUGGACAAUUUAGGGCUUCCCUGGUGGCGCAGUGGUUAAGAAUCCGCCUGCCAACGCAGGGGACACAGGUUCGAGCCCUGGUC